UAUAUAUUAAUGUAAAGCGCAUGAGAAAUUUUGAUUUUCUAAGUGAUAGUGCAAUUCUAUUAUAUAUAU
rnacentral:tRNA from 1 species